GGAUUCUGGGCGUAAGCGCACGCAGGCGGUCUGUCAAGUCGGAUGUGAAAUCCCCGGGCUCAACCUGGGAACUGCAUUCGAAACUGGCAGGCUAGAGUCUUGUAGAGGGGGGUAGAAUUCCAGGUGUAGCGGUGAAAUGCGUAGAGAUCUGGAGGAAUACCGGUGGCGAAGGCGGCCCCCUGGACAAAGACUGACGCUCAGGUGCGAAAGCGUGGGGAGCAAACAGGAUUAGAUACCCUGGUAGUCCACGCCGUAAACGAUGUCGACUUGGAGGUUGUGCCCUUGAGGCGUGGCUUCCGGAGCUAACGCGUUAAGUCGACCGCCUGGGGAGUACGGCCGCAAGGUUAAAACUCAAAUGAAUUGACGGGGGCCCGCACAAGCGGUGGAGCAUGUGGUUUAAUUCGAUGCAACGCGAAGAACCUUACCUACUCUUGACAUCCAGAGAACUUUCCAGAGAUGCAUUGGUGCCUUCGGGAACUCUGAGACAGGUGCUGCAUGGCUGUCGUCAGCUCGUGUUGUGAAAUGUUGGGUUAAGUCCCGCAACGAGCGCAACCCUUAUCCUUUGUUGCCAGCGGUUAGGCCGGGAACUCAAAGGAGACUGCCAGUGAU
rnacentral:rRNA from 1 species